rnacentral:rRNA from 1 species
AUUGAACGCUGGCGGCAGGCCUAACACAUGCAAGUAGAACGAGUGGCAGACGGGUGAGUAAUGUCUGGGAAACUGCCCGAUGGAGGGGGAUAAAUACUGGAAACGGUAGCUAAUACCGCAUACCAUCAGAUGUGCCCAGAUGGGAUUAGCUAGUAGGUGGGUUAACGGCUCACCUAGGCGACGAUCCCUAGCUGGUCUGAGAGGAUGACCAGCACCAUGGGAACUGGGACCCGGUCCAGACGCCUACGGGAGGCAGAGGUGGGGAAUAUUGCCCAAUGGGCGCAAGCCUGACGCAGCCAUGCGGCGUGUAUGAAGAAGGCCUUCGGGUUGUAAAGUACUUUCAGCGAGGAGGCGUUACUCGCAGAAGAAGCACCGGCUAACUCCGUGCCAGCAGCCGCGGUAAUAC